UGAGAGUCACGUCAUCAGUGAGAAUUUCUCACCAAUGUUCAUAAGGCUGGAAUCCAUCAGUCAUAAUCGCUCUUCUCAUUGCGCCCCAUGUGUCACGUUUUCUUACUGAAAACUUGUUAAGUUAAAAAUAUAGAAUUUUUAAAAGUAAUACUAUAUAAAUUUAAUUGAAGACAAACGGCGAAGAGUUAAUUUUAAAUUAUCCGUAAUGAAGCAUGACACAUGGGGUAGAAAGAGACGCGCGGUGAUGACUCAUGGGGUCCAUCCUUAAACCCAGCAGUAGAAAGUACAAUUUGGUUCUAGUAGUUGAGUACUUUCUGCUGUUUACAUUAAAGUUAUUUAAUUUUAAAAAGAAACGCAUUUCCAUGAUGCAAAUCUAUAUACAUAGAUUUACAUACUAGGUGAAUUCUUCAUGCGAAUGAUUCACCUCGCAGUUUGAAAAUGCACAUUUUUACACGUCCAGCAAAUCAAGGAGUUUUUCGUUGUAAAUUAAUAACUACGAAAUUUUAGUUUAUGCAGGUCAUUGAAGGGGCGUACGUCAAUUAAUAUUUUGGUGACCCGUUGCGCCAAGUGGGUGCAGGGAAAAAGGAUUAAAUGUGUCCAGUGGUCUCACGGUUCUAGCUGGACCGAACCGGAACCGCGGAGAACUGGACCGGACCGAAGCUUAUUAGCGGUUCAUUCGGACCGAUCAUUUUGACUCAAUUUACGAAUUGGUUUAUAAACUUCUGCAUGUUGAAUCUCAUGUGAGACUUCAUAAUUUUCCCAUAUUUUCUUUUUUGUCAAUGUGCAUAAAUUAAUUAGUCCAUAAAUUAAUUAUGACUACAUCAUAGUCACGAUUAAUGGCCGCCUCAAUGGCCGCCUAACCGGACCGAACCGGAUCCAGGUAGGUCCGGUUCUGUAAUUUUGGUUCUCGAUUCUUAACCGGUUCAGUCCGGUUAAGGACCGAACUUGGACCGAACCGGACCGUUGAGACCACUACUUCAAACUUUGUCUGACUUUACUCCAAUCUACGCAAUACAGGUAGAUCCGUCAACUUAAAAUUACACCACUCUGUUUAAAGCCAAUCAACCAUAAAGAUAAAUAUUUACUUUAUUAGUUUCCUUUUUUGCUCACUUUGAUGAGCAGGGUUACUUUUUAACCUUUUUACGACUUAUUUAAAAAACAAGAAUUCAAGUAUGUUGGAAAUUGCAGUGACCCUGAAAAUCGACCUCUUCUAAAAAAGGUGAGUAAUAAAAGGUGCAGUGUAUAAAAAUAGAGAUAGGUGCAUUUUUUAUCAUUUUUGUCAGAGAGUAUAAAUAAGUAACCUAUGUACAAGAUAGUAAUGAACACUUGUGGAAAUGCACUAAUCCAUCAAAGAGCCAGUAAAAUCUAAUAUACUUUUUAGUUAUUAAGUAAAUAUUAAAUAAAUACAAGCUAAAUAUUUAGUUUUAGCGAUAACUGACUCAAUUAAGGGUUGUAGCCAGGAUCUAAUCACGGUUUCCAAGGAUAGUUUGACCAUCACGGAAUGGGUACUUAUCGCUGUCCCGGUGAAACGUUCGGAGAAAUCCCCCAAACUGAUAGAGUUUUCCGGCGCAGGGAGAAACUGGUGAAAAUCAAUGACCUCCUGGAAAGGACAUCUGUCUUCCUCCCGCACGAUGGCCACAAUUUUUCAGGACGACUUUUGCCUUCCUCACGAAUUAAACCAUUUCCAAGAAAAGGACAAUUCUCCUCUAUCCGAUUUAUUUAAAAGGUUAAAUAUUUUAAUCUGUUUCUUAAAUGAUGGCUUUCUUUGGAAUGGUGGUUGCCGUGUUUCUUAACACACAACGAGAUAAUCUUGAUAUGCUAUGUAUGACAAAUAACUGCCCAAUAACUAUAUAAUGCACCCCCGCUACUGCAAUUCAACCACGACCUUUACAUAAACUUUCAGCUAUCGCCACUCUAUCAUGGCGUAAUGCUGUAUUGGAAGUUCCAAUUUGGAACUAUAGAUUAGGUCGAGCAAUGUACGAGGUAAUAUUUUUCACUAAUUCGUAAUAUAUACUUAUUUUGAUAAUAUAGGAUUAUUGACUAGUUAGUUUGUGAUUAGUUAUAUUAUUAAAAUUACGCAAAAAUAUAAAUGAGAUGGCUGACCGAAAGGGGCUAAGAAGAAUAUGCCUGAAGAUGGACCAUGUUAAUUAAGUAUCUAAGUAAAUAAGUAACAAUAUUUAUUAUUCGUAUAUCAAAAUUGCCAUAAAUUAACUUAAUAGUCUAUUUUAUUUUACUUUAGAUAAUGAUAUAAAAUUAACACAACUAACCUAUAGAUUUAGUAAAAUUCCAAGAAUCCAUUCUAUUUAUAUAUGAUUUGAUGAAAUUAUUUUGGGGCUCUAUGGGCUAUGCCCGAUAAGAGUUUUGUUUGCAAUAAAUCAAUCAAUCAAUCAA